rnacentral:rRNA from 1 species
AACGAACGCUGGCGGCAGGCCUAACACAUGCAAGUCGAGCGCGCCCUUCGGGGUGAGCGGCGGACGGGUGAGUAACGCGUGGGAACGUGCCCUUCUCUGCGGAAUAGCCUCGGGAAACUGAGAGUAAUACCGCAUACGCCCUUUGGGGGAAAGAUUUAUCGGAGAAGGAUCGGCCCGCGUUGGAUUAGGUAGUUGGUGGGGUAAUGGCCCACCAAGCCGACGAUCCAUAGCUGGUUUGAGAGGAUGAUCAGCCACACUGGGACUGAGACACGGCCCAGACUCCUACGGGAGGCAGCAGUGGGUAAUCUUAGACAAUGGGGGCAACCCUGAUCUAGCCAGGCCGCGUGAGUGAUGAAGGCCUUAGGGUUGUAAAGCUCUUUCAGCUGGGAAGAUAAUGACGGUACCAGCAGAAGAAGCCCCGGCUAACUCCGUG